GGAAUCUUGGAAAUGGGGGCAACCCUGAUCCAGCGACGCCGCGUGGGUGAUGAAGGCCUUCGGGUUGUAAAGCCCUUUCACCGGGGACGAUGAUGACGGUACCCGGAGAAGAAGCACCGGCGAACUACGUGCCAGCAGCCGCGGUAAUACGUAGGGUGCAGGCGUUCAUCGGAAUUACUGGGCGUAAAGCGUGCGCAGGCGGCUCCUUAAGUCAGAUGUGAAAGCCCCGGGCUUAACCUGGGAACUGCGUUUGAAACUGAGGAGCUAGAGUGUGGAAGAGGGGGGUGGAAUUCCAGGUGUAGCAGUGAAAUGCGUAGAGAUCUGGAGGAACACCGAUGGCGAAGGCAGCCCCCUGGGCUAACACUGACGCUCAUGCACGAAAGCGUGGGGAGCAAAC
rnacentral:rRNA from 1 species